rnacentral:rRNA from 1 species
AACGAACGCUGGCGGCGUGCCUAACACAUGCAAGUCGAGCGAGAAAGCUCCUUCGGGAGUGAGUAAAGCGGCGCACGGGUGAGUAACACGUAGGUAACCUACCCUCGAGCCUGGGAUAACCUACCGAAAGGUGGGCUAAUACCGGAUAAUGACCACGGGAGCCACGGCUCCUGCGGUAAAAGAUGGCCAAAGCUUGCAAGCUAUCACUUGAAGAUGGGCCUGCGCACCA